UGCAGUGUAGAAGGAAGGGCCGCUGUGCUUGAUGCUUUGUCGUUUUCACACUGCUGCUGCCUUCUUACAG
rnacentral:miRNA from 14 species